rnacentral:rRNA from 1 species
AUUGAACGCUGGCGGCAUGCCUUACACAUGCAAGUCGAACGGCAGCGGGCCUUCGGGUGCCGGCGAGUGGCGAACGGGUGAGUAAUGCAUCGGAACUUGCCAUUGAGUGGGGGAUAACGUAGCGAAAGUUACGCUAAUACCGCAUAUUCUGUGAGCAGGAAAGCAGGGGACCGCAAGGCCUUGCGCUCUUUGAGCGGCCGAUGUCAGAUUAGCUAGUUGGUGAGGUAAAGGCUUACCAAGGCGACGAUCUGUAGCGGGUCUGAGAGGAUGAUCCGCCACACUGGAACUGAGACACGGUCCAGACUCCUACGGGAGGCAGCAGUGGGGAAUUUUGGACAAUGGGCGCAAGCCUGAUCCAGCCAUGCCGCGUGAGUGAAGAAGGCCU